UACAGAGGUCUCAACCGUUGUUCGGAUUCAUUGGGCGUAAAGGGUGCGUAGGCGGUCGCGUAAGUCAGGUGUGAAAUCUCGGGGCUCAACCCCGAAACUGCACUUGAUACUGCGUGGCUCGGGUACUGGAGAGGAGACUGGAAUUUACGGUGUAGCAGUGAAAUGCGUAGAUAUCGUAAGGAAGACCAGUGGCGAAGGCGAGUCUCUGGACAGUUACCGACGCUGAGGCACGAAGGUCAGGGGAGCAAACGGG
rnacentral:rRNA from 2 species